GUGCAAGUGGGAGGGGGCUGAGGAGGAGGGGGAGGUUGUCUGGGCUGCCAGACAGGCCCGGGUCAGCGCCGGGGGCAGGGGAUGUCUGGCGGAGGAGAGGCCCAGCGUCCAGGCUCCCUUGGGGACCCGGGAUUCCAGGCCUCAGCCCCCUCCUCCCUCAGACCUGGGAGUCCACCACCCUGCCCCUUCCCGAAUUCCAGAAUCCGAACCCCUAGCCAACGCUUCCCAGGACCCAGGAGUCCACCCCCACUCCGCCUUCUGCGCUCAGACCUAGGAGUCCACACCGUAACCCCCACCCACUUUGGAAACCCUAGUUCAGAACCCCAGCCCCUCCUCCCUAGGAACGGACCCCAAACCCCUCCUCCUCUAGAACCCAGAGUCCAGAUCCCCAGGAUCUAGCAGCCGGGAUUGGGGUAGGGGGUGUGGGGGUCCUGCCCCGGAACCUAGGGGUCCCCACCUCCUCCCUCGCCCCAGCUGGAGUCCAGCCCUCCAGGGGUUAAGGGGGCGGGGCCAUCCGGUUGCUAUGGUGCCAGACUGUUUGGGUCUGCUCUCUGACCCUUGGGGGCUCCCCAGGGUCCGCGAAGAGGGGGAGGGGGACCCAGGCCUGGGGAUGUACAGUGCCGACCCCUUCCCCGAGCGGGCCUGCGGACCUAGGGAGCUCCUCUACGCCUCGCCCGGUGACCUUGAACGAGCCCUGACCCUUGUCCCCGGGCCUCAGUUUCCCGGGAGAGCCCGGCGGGGAGUGGGGGCGAUGCCCGGGUCCCAGGAAUCUCUGGGACGCGCUUCCCGGCUCCCCUCACCCCCUCCCCAGGCCCCAGGCAGCCCCGGGGCAUGCCGGGAGCCGGCCGGGCGGCGGGCCAGGUUGGCUGGGGGGGGGGGCGCCUCCCUUCCCCUUCCUCCCCACCUUGGCCUGACUCUCGCCCCCGCGGAGGGUCGGGGAGGCCGGGAAGGAGGGAAGGGGGAAGGAGCCGGACCGCAGGCCGCCCCCGCCUCCCUUCCUCCUCCGCCCCUUCCCGCCCUCCGCCCUCCUCGGCAGGUCGCUCCCCAGCCCGGGCCCCUUCCCACCCCCACCCCACCCCCAGCUCCAGACCUGGCUCCGAGCGCGAGGGGGAGGGAGGGAGG
rnacentral:lncRNA from 1 species